ACUUUUCUGUUCUUUCUGUCAAUUUUCUCUAUCUUCCCAAAACCUUCAUCAUCUUCUCAGAAUCUUCUUCUGCACCGAUCUUCCCUUGAUUCAUGGAUCAACCCAACAGGAUUCUUCAUCUAACAAGGUUAUUAUCAAGGUGACAACCCUAGCCCUUCUGUUGGUUCAGGGGGCAAUGAUUCUCUUAAGAGGAAGCCUUCGUACGACAAGAUGAUUUGGUUCAUGUUGGAUGAGUAGCACAAAGGAGAACGGUGAUUUAAUCUAGGAAAUGAAGACCGCUUAUAAUUCUGGCAAAGGUUGAUUUCUCAAUUUGGUGCGAUUAUUAGGGAUUGAUUUUGCAAACUUCACAGGUGGAUUUCUCAAUUUGGUGCGGUUAUUAGGGUUUGAUUUUACAAAUUUCAUCAGACAAGUAUGAUAUGAGGAGAGGUCGGUUUGCAAAGAACGGACUGAUUCAGUACCAGAUUGUAUGCCAACAAGUUAAUGUUGGUUCUCUGGAAGAGGUGAUCAAACCAUUUUUGCAUCUUUCAACUGAGAAAGUUGAGAAUGCAAAGACCCAGGCAGAGGCUUUAGAAGAAGCUCUAGACAUUGAUGACUUGGAAGCGGAUAAGAGGCCUGAAGACUUGAUGCUGAGCUAUAUUGGUGGAGAGAAGGGAAAGGAUAUAUCUGACCGCGAGCUUGUUACUCUGUGGUUAGAGGCCUACAGAAUGGUUCUCUAAAUUCUCCGUAACAACACUAAACUAGAAGCAUUCUACGCGGUAAGCCAUCUGAUAUUUUAAUUAGGUUUACCUCCUUUCAACCGCUUUUUAUCUCUUAGGCAUUUUUGAUUUUUCAGUCUUGAUGAGUUUGAGUGUAAUAUUUCUCUCUAUUGUAAUGAUGACUGCACACCGAGUCUUCCAGUUUUGUAAGAAGCACAAGAGAACAACUGAAUUCUGUAGGCUUUGCGACAUAAUCAGAAACCAUCUUGCAAAUCUUAACAAAUACAAGGACCAGAAAGACAUACCUGACUAAUUGAGAUUGAACUUUGGCAGCUUUUCGUUUUGCGUAAGACAUUCAUGGUUUGAUGUAUAUGGUAAAGAAAACUCCCAAGCCAUAAGUGAUGGUCAUUUAUUAUGGCAAGCUGACGGAGAUGUUCCGGGUUUCGAACUAUCAACUUUAUAAUGCAUAUGCAUGGUCCAAACUGUUCUCACGACAAAGGGUACUGCAGGAGUUGCCAUAGCUAGUGUUUUGGGAGUCUAAUGUAUGCUUAUAACAGAGCACAAGUAUACUUUCAACAAAGAAUGUUUGUCUGUUGGUUUAAUAUCUGUAAUCAAAUGCUCUUUCUUGCCUAAGUGCAUUCGGUUUUGGUUUUAGGGAUGGGUCACGAUUCUUGAGUUUUGGUUCGUAAAAGUA